rnacentral:rRNA from 1 species
AUAAUGGGUCAGCGACUUAUAUUCUGUAGCAAGGUUAACCGAAUAGGGGAGCCGAAGGGAAACCGAGUCUUAACUGGGCGUUAAGUUGCAGGGUAUAGACCCGAAACCCGGUGAUCUAGCCAUGGGCAGGUUGAAGGUUGGGUAACACUAACUGGAGGACCGAACCGACUAAUGUUGAAAAAUUAGCGGAUGACUUGUGGCUGGGGGUGAAAGGCCAAUCAAACCGGGAGAUAGCUGGUUCUCCCCGAAAGCUAUUUAGGUAGCGCCUCGUGAAUUCAUCUCCGGGGGUAGAGCACUGUUUCGGCAAGGGGGUCAUCCCGACUUACCAACCCGAUGCAAACUGCGAAUACCGGAGAAUGUUAUCACGGGAGACACACGGCGGGUGCUAACGUCCGUCGUGAAGAGGGAAACAACCCAGACCGCCAGCUAAGGUCCCAAAGUCAUGGUUAAGUGGGAAACGAUGUGGGAAGGCCCAGACAGCCAGGAUGUUGGCUUAGAAGCAGCCAUCAUUUAAAGAAAGCGUAAUAGCUCACUGGUCGAGUCGGCCUGCGCGGAAGAUGUAACGGGGCUAAACCAUGCACCGAAGCUGCGGCAGCGACGCUUAUGCGUUGUUGGGUAGGGGAGCGUUCUGUAAGCCUGCGAAGGUGUGCUGUGAGGCAUGCUGGAGGUAUCAGAAGUGCGAAUGCUGACAUAAGUAACGAUAAAGCGGGUGAAAAGCCCGCUCGCCGGAAGACCAAGGGUUCCUGUCCAACGUUAAUCGGGGCAGGGUGAGUCGACCCCUAAGGCGAGGCCGAAAGGCGUAGUCGAUGGGAAACAGGUUAAUAUUCCUGUACUUGGUGUUACUGCGAAGGGGGGACGGAGAAGGCUAUGUUGGCCGGGCGACGGUUGUCCCGGUUUAAGCGUGUAGGCUGGUUUUCCAGGCAAAUCCGGAAAAUCAAGGCUGAGGCGUGAUGACGAGGCACUACGGUGCUGAAGCAACAAAUGCCCUGCUUCCAGGAAAAGCCUCUAAGCAUCAGGUAACAUCAAAUCGUACCCCAAACCGACACAGGUGGUCAGGUAGAGAAUACCAAGGCGCUUGAGAGAACUCGGGUGAAGGAACUAGGCAAAAUGGUGCCGUAACUUCGGGAGAAGGCACGCUGAUAUGUAGGUGAAGUCCCUCGCGGAUGGAGCUGAAAUCAGUCGAAGAUACCAGCUGGCUGCAACUGUUUAUUAAAAACACAGCACUGUGCAAACACGAAAGUGGACGUAUACGGUGUGACGCCUGCCCGGUGCCGGAAGGUUAAUUGAUGGGGUCAGCGCAAGCGAAGCUCUUGAUCGAAGCCCCGGUAAACGGCGGCCGUAACUAUAACGGUCCUAAGGUAGCGAAAUUCCUUGUCGGGUAAGUUCCGACCUGCACGAAUGGCGUAAUGAUGGCCAGGCUGUCUCCACCCGAGACUCAGUGAAAUUGAACUCGCUGUGAAGAUGCAGUGUACCCGCGGCAAGACGGAAAGACCCCGUGAACCUUUACUAUAGCUUGACACUGAACAUUGAGCCUUGAUGUGUAGGAUAGGUGGGAGGCUUUGAAGUGUGGACGCCAGUCUGCAUGGAGCCGACCUUGAAAUACCACCCUUUAAUGUUUGAUGUUCUAACGUGGACCCGU